rnacentral:rRNA from 1 species
UAGGGAAUCUUCCACAAUGGACGAAAGUCUGAUGGAGCAAUGCCGCGUGAGUGAAGAAGGUUUUCGGAUCGUAAAACUCUGUUGUUGGAGAAGAACGUAUUUGAUAGUAACUGAUCAGGUAGUGACGGUAUCCAACCAGAAAGCCACGGCUAACUACGUGCCAG